rnacentral:rRNA from 1 species
GUGCCAGCCGCCGCGGUAAUACAGAGGUCUCAAGCGUUGUUCGGAAUUACUGGGCGUAAAGGGUGCGCAGGCCGCGCGGGCAGUCAAAUGUGUAAUUCAGAGGCUCAACCUCUGGACUGCGCUUGAUACUUCCGCGCUCGAACCUUGGAGAGGAGUCUGGAAUUCUCGGUGUAGCAGUGAAAUGCGUGGAUAUCGAGAAGAACACUUAGGGCGAAGGCAAGACUCUGGACAAGUGUUGACGCUCAUGCACGAAGGCUAGGGUAGCGAACGGGAUUAGAUACCCCCGUAGUCC